GCGACCUACGGGACGCAGCAGUGAGGAAUAUUGGUCAAUGGGCGGGAGCCUGAACCAGCCAAGUCGCGUGAGGGACGACGGUCCUAUGGAUUGUAAACCUCUUUUGUCGGGGAACAAAGGCGCCCACGGGUGGGCGGAUGAGUGUACCCGAAGAAAAAGCAUCGGCUAACUCCGUGCCAGCAGCCGCGGUAAUACGGAGGAUGCGAGCGUUAUCCGGAUUUAUUGGGUUUAAAGGGUGAGUAGGCGGACGGUCAAGUCAGCGGUAAAAAUGCGGUGCUCAACGCCGUACAGAUGUUG
rnacentral:rRNA from 1 species